rnacentral:lncRNA from 1 species
CAUCACAAUGCUACCAAUUUUAAUAAAAUUCACCCAAAAUUCUAAACUAGCUUGAGCUUGCUUAGGGAUCAAGUGUCAUAAUCAGAAAAUAUAUAGCAAAGAAUAUAUCUAAAAAUUAUUUGAAUCAGUAAUAUCUCAUGACUUUGUGCUUUAACCUCCCAGUCAAAAUAAUUCAAAUUCCCUCUGCCCCUUAAUAACAACUCCACGUCUCCAUGGGUAAGUAUGGGGAUUGGAACUCUGCUCCUUGAGGUUAUUCCUCUCAAGGCCUCUGUCAUUUCUCCCGCUGCUUUAUUCACAUCUCCAUUCAUUGUUGUCCUAGGUUGGGUGUUAAGUAAAGAGCAGGGAUAUCACAGGAAUGUUGAAAUGAAUAACAUUUCAUAGCACCACUAAUAAUUAUACCCAACAAUGAAUGCACAGUGUAUACUAACCGUGAUUGCUUAACAGUUAACACUGCAAGUCAACAACACAAGGAACUCUGCCAAGGUCUCCUCAGCAAUAGAUAGGAG